rnacentral:rRNA from 1 species
UACAGAGGGUGCGAGCGUUGUCCGGAAUCACUGGGCGUAAAGGGCGCGUAGGUGGCGGCCCAAGUCCAUGGUGAAAGCUCGAUGCUCAACAUCGAGUCGGCCACGGAUACUGGGUUGCUCGAGCACUGUAGGGGCAGAUGGAAUUCCGGGUGUAGCGGUGGAAUGCGUAGAGAUCCGGAAGAACACUUAGGGCGUAGGCAAGACUCUGGACAAAUGCUGACGCUCAUGCACGAAGGCUAGGGUAGCGAACGGG